rnacentral:rRNA from 2 species
GGUUAAGCGACUAAGCGUACACGGUGGAUGCCCUGGCAGUCAGAGGCGAUGAAGGACGUGCUAAUCUGCGAUAAGCGUCGGUAAGGUGAUAUGAACCGUUAUAACCGGCGAUUUCCGAAUGGGGAAACCCAGUGUGUUUCGACACACUAUCAUUAACUGAAUCCAUAGGUUAAUGAGGCGAACCGGGGGAACUGAAACAUCUAAGUACCCCGAGGAAAAGAAAUCAACCGAGAUUCCCCCAGUAGCGGCGAGCGAACGGGGAGCAGCCCAGAGCCUGAAUCAGUGUGUGUGUUAGUGGAAGCGUCUGGAAAGGCGUGCGAUACAGGGUGACAGCCCCGUACACAAAAAUGCACAUGCUGUGAGCUCGAUGAGUAGGGCGGGACACGUGGUAUCCUGUCUGAAUAUGGGGGGACCAUCCUCCAAGGCUAAAUACUCCUGACUGACCGAUAGUGAACCAGUACCGUGAGGGAAAGGCGAAAAGAACCCCGGCGAGGGGAGUGAAAAAGAACCUGAAACCGUGUACGUACAAGCAGUGGGAGCACGCUUAGGCGUGUGACUGCGUACCUUUUGUAUAAUGGGUCAGCGACUUAUAUUCUGUAGCAAGGUUAACCGAAUAGGGGAGCCGAAGGGAAACCGAGUCUUAACUGGGCGUUAAGUUGCAGGGUAUAGACCCGAAACCCGGUGAUCUAGCCAUGGGCAGGUUGAAGGUUGGGUAACACUAACUGGAGGACCGAACCGACUAAUGUUGAAAAAUUAGCGGAUGACUUGUGGCUGGGGGUGAAAGGCCAAUCAAACCGGGAGAUAGCUGGUUCUCCCCGAAAGCUAUUUAGGUAGCGCCUCGUGAAUUCAUCUCCGGGGGUAGAGCACUGUUUCGGCAAGGGGGUCAUCCCGACUUACCAACCCGAUGCAAACUGCGAAUACCGGAGAAUGUUAUCACGGGAGACACACGGCGGGUGCUAACGUCCGUCGUGAAGAGGGAAACAACCCAGACCGCCAGCUAAGGUCCCAAAGUCAUGGUUAAGUGGGAAACGAUGUGGGAAGGCCCAGACAGCCAGGAUGUUGGCUUAGAAGCAGCCAUCAUUUAAAGAAAGCGUAAUAGCUCACUGGUCGAGUCGGCCUGCGCGGAAGAUGUAACGGGGCUAAACCAUGCACCGAAGCUGCGGCAGCGACGCUUAUGCGUUGUUGGGUAGGGGAGCGUUCUGUAAGCCUGUGAAGGUGUACUGUGAGGUAUGCUGGAGGUAUCAGAAGUGCGAAUGCUGACAUAAGUAACGAUAAAGCGGGUGAAAAGCCCGCUCGCCGGAAGACCAAGGGUUCCUGUCCAACGUUAAUCGGGGCAGGGUGAGUCGACCCCUAAGGCGAGGCCGAAAGGCGUAGUCGAUGGGAAACAGGUUAAUAUUCCUGUACUUGGUGUUACUGCGAAGGGGGGACGGAGAAGGCUAUGUUGGCCGGGCGACGGUUGUCCCGGUUUAAGCGUGUAGGCUGGUUUUCCAGGCAAAUCCGGAAAAUCAAGGCUGAGGCGUGAUGACGAGGCACUACGGUGCUGAAGCAACAAAUGCCCUGCUUCCAGGAAAAGCCUCUAAGCAUCAGGUAACAUCAAAUCGUACCCCAAACCGACACAGGUGGUCAGGUAGAGAAUACCAAGGCGCUUGAGAGAACUCGGGUGAAGGAACUAGGCAAAAUGGUGCCGUAACUUCGGGAGAAGGCACGCUGAUAUGUAGGUGAAGUCCCUCGCGGAUGGAGCUGAAAUCAGUCGAAGAUACCAGCUGGCUGCAACUGUUUAUUAAAAACACAGCACUGUGCAAACACGAAAGUGGACGUAUACGGUGUGACGCCUGCCCGGUGCCGGAAGGUUAAUUGAUGGGGUUAGCGCAAGCGAAGCUCUUGAUCGAAGCCCCGGUAAACGGCGGCCGUAACUAUAACGGUCCUAAGGUAGCGAAAUUCCUUGUCGGGUAAGUUCCGACCUGCACGAAUGGCGUAAUGAUGGCCAGGCUGUCUCCACCCGAGACUCAGUGAAAUUGAACUCGCUGUGAAGAUGCAGUGUACCCGCGGCAAGACGGAAAGACCCCGUGAACCUUUACUAUAGCUUGACACUGAACAUUGAGCCUUGAUGUGUAGGAUAGGUGGGAGGCUUUGAAGUGUGGACGCCAGUCUGCAUGGAGCCGACCUUGAAAUACCACCCUUUAAUGUUUGAUGUUCUAACGUUGACCCGUAAUCCGGGUUGCGGACAGUGUCUGGUGGGUAGUUUGACUGGGGCGGUCUCCUCCUAAAGAGUAACGGAGGAGCACGAAGGUUGGCUAAUCCUGGUCGGACAUCAGGAGGUUAGUGCAAUGGCAUAAGCCAGCUUGACUGCGAGCGUGACGGCGCGAGCAGGUGCGAAAGCAGGUCAUAGUGAUCCGGUGGUUCUGAAUGGAAGGGCCAUCGCUCAACGGAUAAAAGGUACUCCGGGGAUAACAGGCUGAUACCGCCCAAGAGUUCAUAUCGACGGCGGUGUUUGGCACCUCGAUGUCGGCUCAUCACAUCCUGGGGCUGAAGUAGGUCCCAAGGGUAUGGCUGUUCGCCAUUUAAAGUGGUACGCGAGCUGGGUUUAGAACGUCGUGAGACAGUUCGGUCCCUAUCUGCCGUGGGCGCUGGAGAACUGAGGGGGGCUGCUCCUAGUACGAGAGGACCGGAGUGGACGCAUCACUGGUGUUCGGGUUGUCAUGCCAAUGGCACUGCCCGGUAGCUAAAUGCGGAAGAGAUAAGUGCUGAAAGCAUCUAAGCACGAAACUUGCCCCGAGAUGAGUUCUCCCUGACUCCUUGAGAGUCCUGAAGGAACGUUGAAGACGACGACGUUGAUAGGCCGGGUGUGUAAGCGCAGCGAUGCGUUGAGCUAACCGGUACUAAUGAACCGUGAGGCUUAACCUU